rnacentral:rRNA from 1 species
GAGUUUGAUCAUGGCUCAGGACGAACGCUGGCGGCACGCCUAACACAUGCAAGUCGAACGGAGAUAUUUUGGUUUACUGAGAUAUCUUAGUGGCGGACGGGUGAGUAACACGUGAGCAACCUGCCUCUGAGAGAGGGAUAGCUUCUGGAAACGGAUGGUAAUACCUCAUAACAUAACGAAGCCGCAUGACUUUGUUAUCAAAGAUUUAUCACUCAGAGAUGGGCUCGCGUCUGAUUAGAUAGUUGGUGAGGUAACGGCCCACCAAGUCGACGAUCAGUAGCCGGACUGAGAGGUUGAACGGCCACAUUGGGACUGAGACACGGCCCAGACUCCCACGGGAGGCAGCAGUGGGGAAUAUUGCACAAUGGGGGAAACCCUGAUGCAGCGAUGCCGCGUGGAGGAAGAAGGUUUUCGGAUUGUAAACUCCUGUCUUAAAGGACGAUAAUGACGGUACUUUAGGAGGAAGCUCCGGCUAACUACGUGCCAGCAGCCGCGGUAAUACGUAGGGAGCGAGCGUUGUCCGGAAUUACUGGGUGUAAAGGGAGCGUAGGCGGGAUGGCAAGUCAGAUGUGAAAACUAUGGGCUCAACCCAUAGACUGCAUUUGAAACUGUUGUUCUUGAGUGAAGUAGAGGUAAGCGGAAUUCCUGGUGUAGCGGUGAAAUGCGUAGAUAUCAGGAGGAACAUCGGUGGCGAAGGCGGCUUACUGGGCUUUUACUGACGCUGAGGCUCGAAGCGUGGGGAGCAACAGGAUUAGAUWCCCUGGUAGUCCACGCUGUAAACGAUGAUUACUAGGUGUGGGGGAUGACCCUUCCUKCCSYAGUUACMCGAUAAGAAUYCMCCUGGGAAGUAC